AGAGUUUGAUCAUGGCUCAGAUUGAACGCUAGCGGCAUGCUUAACACAUGCAAGUCGAACGGUAACAGGACUAGCUUGCUAGUCGCUGACGAGUGGCGGACGGGUGAGUAACGCGUAGGAAUCUGCCUCAUAGUGGGGGAUAACCCGGGGAAACUCGGGCUAAUACCGCAUAAUCUCUACGGAGCAAAGCGGGGGACCUU
rnacentral:rRNA from 1 species